rnacentral:rRNA from 1 species
GGAUGCGAUCAUAGCAGCACUAAAGCACCGGAUCCCAACAGAACUCCGAAGUUAAGCGUGCUUGGGUGAGAGUAAUACUAGGAUGGGUGACCUCGUGGGAAGUCCUCGUGUUGCAUUCC